GACGGUAGGGCGCGAGCGUUGUCCGGAUUUAUUGGGCGUAAAGAGCUCGUAGGCGGCUUGUCGCGUCGAAUGUGAAAACUCGGGGCUCAACUCCGAGCUUGCAUUCGAUACGGGCAGGCUAGAGUUCGGUAGGGGAGACUGGAAUUCCUGGUGUAGCGGUGAAAUGCGCAGAUAUCAGGAGGAACACCGGUGGCGAAGGCGGGUCUCUGGGCCGAUACUGACGUGGAGGAGCGAAAGCGUGGGGAGCGAACAGG
rnacentral:rRNA from 1 species